rnacentral:sRNA from 1 species
UGCCAUAAUUCGGGCGAUACCUGGAGG